CCCCCUGCCCCUCGCGACUUCCCCCUUCUCCCCUCCUCCGGCGCCGCCCCCUCCUCCUCCUCGUCCUCGCAGCCCAAAUACGCGACACCUGGAGCAAUAGCAGCCGCCCGGCGGCCUGGGCCUCAUUACAGGCCGGCCCUUAUCGCGGCGUGCAUCACAUUAUUUCAUUUCAAAGAAUCCGCAGAGAAACCCGUCCCGGCCGACAACAGAAAGUAAAAACACAGCUGACUCCCAUUAGGGCCCUCUCACAGGCUCCGCGUGAGAAGACUGUGACUACCACUAUGUGAAGAAUCCCAGUCUGGCCUGCUGGAUGAUGAGAGAUAUGUGACCCUUGUACCCUUGUCACCCCAGCCAUCAGCCAGCCAACCGCCAGCAAGAAGGCAGCUGUCUGCAAGCCAAGAAGAGAGCCCUCACCAGAACCCAACUAAGCUGGAAGCUGGCACCUUGGACUUGGAUUUUCAGCCUUCAGAAGUGUGAGAAAAUUAAUUCUUUUGUUGAAGCCACACAAUCUAUGGUAUUUUGUUAUAAGAGCCCAAGCAGACUAACAUACCUGGGAGGGUGCAUAAUUCUGGGCUCCCACAGACAUACCUGGACAGGAUGGUCACACAUGGGGAUAUUCAUGACCUGGUCCGCAAACUUGGUUCCAGACCAAUGUUUCUUGUUCUCUGAUUGUUUCACAUGCCAGUUCCAGCUCCUCACACAACUGGGGGCCAGGAGAUAGAUCCUUACUCUGCAAAUGUCUAUGUGACCUUGGGCAACUCUGUCCCAUCUCUGGGCCUCUGUUUCCCUUUUUUACAAUAAAGGAAUUAACAGUGAUAUUCAGAC